AGUGGUUUUAUUCUCAUUUUCUAUAAAAUUUAUAAACUUCUUAAAUAAAAUUGAAGAAAGUUACAACUAUAUAUAUUGAUCUUUCAAAGAAACUCCAAAACAUUUAGUACAUAAUACUAGCUGCUCCUGUGGAAUAGGAAUUUCUAUUUAUUCUUUAAAUUUUGAAUAAUAGAAUUAUGAAAAUAAUUGGAAUAUAUAAUUAUUGAAAUUCUCUUUGGUAAAAUUCAACGGCCCCAAAUACUACCAGAUACAUAUCUUCUCGCAAUCCGCUUUGGUGCUUCGGCAGUGUGUAGUGGAACUGCAACACCAAACAUUCUUUGGUGUUUUAGAGCAUGUUCCUUUGGGCUUUCUUUCCGGGUUGGCACCUGCAGAAAAUUUAAAGAAUAAAACAAAAUUAAAAGAUGAUGGAGUAUAUUAAUAUUAAUUUAAUGGUAAUGAUGCUAGAGGAUUGGAUGGAACAUAUGCUAUAUAUGACAUACAUUCAUGAAGACUAGCAAGACAAAUGAGAACAAUACAAAAUAUAGCAAAUUUCAAUGCCGACAUUGUAAACCUUCACAGUAAAAAAAUGCUUUGUGUGUUUAUUGUAGGGAACCUUAAGUAUGAACAUAUACAUAUAUAUAUAUAUAUAUAUAUAUAUAUAGGUUUUUGAAGACCUAUUAACGACAACCAUAUAUAUAUAUAUGUAACGUUGAAUUGUUGUAUAUGUGGAUAAAAUCAACUAGCUAGCUACCAAUUUUAGCAUUUACUAAUUUCUC
rnacentral:lncRNA from 1 species